UUCCCUUUUUCCUGCACCGUUCCCCAUUCCCAAAGCAGCCCACGAUCCUCUCUGAGCUCCAGCUUCUCUGUACCUCAGUUUCCCCCACAGAGGGAAAAUUCCUUUAAAUUUUUUUUUUUACCUCAGCAAAUAAUUUUCCUUAUUUAAACUAGUAUUAAUUUGUUUAUUACACAGCACAGAGGGAACAGGUCAGCACAGCAGGAUCUUAACUCCACGUGGAAAUAGAAUAAUGCACAUGGUCCCAAAGCUCAAGAGACGGUCACUCAGCAGCAGCAGCACUGAUGGGCUAAGAAAGUGAUGGCAAGGACACGCUGAAAAUUCAAAUUAAUCCUGUUUUCCUGCACUGUGGAAGCUGGGCUGGCUGACAUGGGGGGUUUCAGGGAGAGGAGAAUGCUCCAGGGGACAGAUUGCUGCCCAGGCAUGGACAGCUCCCACUGGGAUCACAGAUGUCCCUGUCCCCUGCCUUUGUGACCUGUUUGGGACACAGCAGCCUCCAGGACCUGGUUUGAAAGAGUCUGAGUUGAACCAAAAAUACCAAGUGAGAUUUAAAGAGAAUAAAGAGACUUUGCACUUGC